GAUGAACGCUGGCGGCGUGCCUAACACAUGCAAGUCGAACGGGGUUAAGGGAAUUUUCGGAUGGAACUUAACUUAGUGGCGGACGGGUGAGUAACGCGUGGAUAACCUGCCUCACACUGGGGGAUAGCAGCUGGAAACGGCUGGUAAUACCGCAUAAGACCACAGCGCCGCAUGGUGCAGGGAUAAAAGAUUUAUCGGUGUGAGAUGGAUCCGCGUCUGAUUAGCCAGUUGGCGGGGUAACGGCCCACCAAAGCGACGAUCAGUAGCCGGCCUGAGAGGGUGAACGGCCACAUUGGGACUGAGACACGGCCCAA
rnacentral:rRNA from 1 species